rnacentral:rRNA from 1 species
AUUGGACGCUGGCGGCAGGCCUAACACAUGCAAGUCGAGCGGGGUUUUCGGACCUAGCGGCGGACGGGUGAGUAAUGCGUAGGAAGCUGCCCGAUAGAGGGGGAUACCAGUUGGAAACGACUGUUAAUACCGCAUAAUGUCUACGGACCAAAGUGUGGGACCUUCGGGCCACAUGCUAUCGGAUGCGCCUACGCGGGAUUAGCUAGUUGGUGAGGUAAUGGCUCACCAAGGCGACGAUCUCUAGCUGGUUUGAGAGGAUGAUCAGCCACACUGGAACUGAGACACGGUCCAGACUCCUACGGGAGGCAGCAGUGGGGAAUAUUGGACAAUGGGCGCAAGCCUGAUCCAGCCAUGCCGCGUGUGUGAAGAAGGCCUUCGGGUUGUAAAGCACUUUCAGCGAGGAGGAAGGGUGGUGUGUUAAUAGCACAUCAUUUUGACGUUACUCGCAGAAGAAGCACCGGCUAACUCUGUGCCAGCAGCCGCGGUAACAC